rnacentral:rRNA from 1 species
GACGAACGCUGGCGGCGUGCCUAAUACAUGCAAGUCGUACGCUUCUUUUUCCACCGGAGCUUGCUCCACCGGAAAAAGAAGAGUGGCGAACGGGUGAGUAACACGUGGGUAACCUGCCCAUCAGAAGGGGAUAACACUUGGAAACAGGUGCUAAUACCGUAUAACAAUCGAAACCGCAUGGUUUUGAUUUGAAAGGCGCUUUCGGGUGUCGCUGAUGGAUGGACCCGCGGUGCAUUAGCUAGUUGGUGAGGUAACGGCUCACCAAGGCCACGAUGCAUAGCCGACCCGAGAGGGUGAUCGGCCACAUUGGGACUGAGACACGGCCCAAACUCCUACGGGAGGCAGCAGUAGGGAAUCUUCGGCAAUGGACGAAAGUCUGACCGAGCAACGCCGCGUGAGUGAAGAAGGUUUUCGGAUCGUAAAACUCUGUUGUUAGAGAAGAACAAGGAUGAGAGUAACUGUUCAUCCCUUGACGGUAUCUAACCAGAAAGCCACGGCUAACUACGUGCCAGCAGCCGCAGUAAGAC